rnacentral:rRNA from 1 species
UACGUAGGGUCCAAGCGUUAUCCGGAAUCACUGGGCGUAAAGCGUGCGUAGGCGGAUGUUUAAGUGUGAUGUUAAAUCGUGGGGCUCAACCCUGUCGUUGCAUCGCAUACUGGGCAUCUAGAGGACGGCAGAGGCAAGUGGAACUCGUAGUGUAGCAGUGAAAUGCGUAGAUAUGACACAGAACACCGAUUGCGAAGGCAGCUCACUAAACUGUAACUGACGCUGAGGCACGAAAGCGUGGGGAGCAAACAGG